GGGCAAGAUCAAGCCGAAAGGCUGCUGUGGAGAACUUGCAAAACCACAUUAGCAAAAGUGGCUGGUUUCGAUCUACAAAUGAUGUCUAGAACUAGAGCAGCCAUCUUGAGCCAUGAGGUAAACUCAGACAUGGAAGCCCAGCCUGAGGUGGAAACAAACUAGAAGAAUCCUGACACCCCAGUGCCUGGCUCGCCAUACCAGACCCUCAGGAACUUUCUCUGAAAGAAAAAGCUGUGUUGCUUAACCCAUGGAUGGAACCCAGUGUCUCACACAGGCAAGGCAAGUGCUCUACCACUGAGCUACAAUCCCAGUCCUCCUAAAUCCUUUGUAUGCAUGAUCUCAUUGACUCCUCUGAUGAUCUCUGUGACAAGAAUAGCCUCUUUCCAAGAACCCUGGACUCACCCCAGCUCUCUCUCCUGCCUGUCCUACAAUGAAAUUGAUGUGUAGACUCUCGUUUCUUCAGGAGGCAGUGGACAGGGGGCUGCCCUCAGAGCUGGAGGCAUUGGAAGGGAGCAUGCAGGAGCGGUUAACACCUGCUGACGUCAGCUUUCUGUAUCAGCCACAAUCCCUCAGCAACAACAAACCCACUGCAUGCCUUUUACACAUUUAAAGCACGUACCCAUCACUCAACAGAUACGUAGUCACCACCUAUUCUGAAAUUUGCAUUCUACAUUUUGUUCCAGGAAAUGAAAAAAUAACAGUGUUUGUUUCAUUUCAUUUCAUUCUCCACAGGCUACCUAGUUAAUGCCGUUAACUGAAAGAAUAAUAGUACACACUUCCCCCUGGGGUUCGAAAUAUCAUAUCAAUCAUUUGUCAUACAUGAGUGUAUUUGGACAUUGUAAGUUCAAAUUUAGCAAUUAAUUCCUGGGGAUAUGACUUUGUAAUAGUGUUUUCCUUUUUAACUUCUUUAAAGAAAAUAAUUAUAGACUCACAGGAAGUCGCACAAAUAGCUCAGAGUCCCAUGUGCCCUCCCCGCAUUGUGAUGUCUUACAUAACUGUACAAUAUUAAGGCAGGAAACGGACAUUGGUAAGUUUAAUUUUAACUAGCCUACUGUUAUUCCGUUUCUUCAGCAUUAAAAAAAUUUCCAUUCUCUCUUAUAUCUGUAUGGUUCCAUAUAAUUUUAUUCCAUCUGCAGAUCAUGUGACCAGUGUCACAGCAGAGAAACAGAAUGAUUCCAUGACCUCCCACCUGGUAUUUGCAUCUAUCACUCACCUAUUCCAUCCCUCCACCUUCUUCCCUGUGCCCUGGAGACCACUAAUCUCUUGCGUGCCUAUUGUUUUGUCAUUACCAGAGUACUUUAUAAAUGGAAUGAAUACUGUGUGUAACCUUCUGAGAGUGACAUUUUCCACUGGCCACAUUACCCUUGAGGUCCACCAAGUGGUUGCAUGUGUCGAUCAUUCAUUCCUUUGAAUUAGUGAGUAUAUUUCAUUCUAUGAAUGUAUUAGUUUGUUGAACUCUUCACCCAAGGAAGGAUAUGGGUUUUCUGCAUAGUUAUGCUAUCAUGAAUAAAAUUUCUAUGAGCACUCGAGUUCAGACUUUUGCAUAAAUCUAAGGUUUUGCUUCUUUAAGAUUAACUCCCAAGCAUGCAACUUCUGGGUUAUAUGGUAACUACACAUUUCCUUUUGUAAGACAUUGAAAAUGUGUUUUCCAGAAUAUCAACAUCAUUUGACACUCCCACAAAUAAAGUGUCAGUUUCUCUGUA